rnacentral:rRNA from 1 species
UAGCUUGCUAGNUCAUGACGAGUGGCGGACGGGUGAGUAAUACUUAGGAAUAUGCCUUUGCGUGGGGGAUAACUAUUGGAAACGAUAGCUAAUACCGCAUAAUGUCUUCGGACCAAAGGGGGCUUCGGCUCCCGCGCAAAGAGUAGCCUAAGCGAGAUUAGCUUGUUGGUGGGGUAAAGGCUCACCAAGGCGACGAUCUCUAGCUGUUCUGAGAGGAAGAUCAGCCACACUGGAACUGAGACACGGUCCAGACUCCUACGGGAGGCAGCAGUGGGGAAUAUUGCACAAUGGGCGCAAGCCUGAUGCAGCCAUGCCGCGUGUGUGAAGAAGGCCUUCGGGUUGUAAAGCACUUUCAGUUGUGAGGAAAGGUUAACGGUUAAUACCCGUUAGCUGUGACGUUAGCAACAGAAGAAGGACCGGCUAACUCCGUGCCAGCAGCCGCGGUAAUACGGAGGGUCCGAGCGUUAAUCGGAAUUACUG